AACGAACGCUGGCGGCAUGCCUAACACAUGCAAGUCGAACGAGACCUUCGGGUCUAGUGGCGCACGGGUGCGUAACGCGUGGGAACCUGCCCUUAGGUUCGGAAUAACUCCCCGAAAGGGGUGCUAAUACCGGAUAAUGUCUUCGGACCAAAGAUUUAUCGCCUUUGGAUGGGCCCGCGUUGGAUUAGCUAGUUGGUAGGGUAAAAGCCUACCAAGGCGACGAUCCAUAGCUGGUCUGAGAGGAUGAUCAGCCACACUGGGACUGAGACACGGCCCAGACUCCUACGGGAGGCAGCAGUGGGGAAUAUUGGACAAUGGGUGAAAGCCUGAUCCAGCAAUGCCGCGUGAGUGAUGAAGGCCUUAGGGUUGUAAAGCUCUUUUACCCGGGAUGAUAAUGACAGUACCGGGAGAAUAAGCUCCGGCUAACUCCG
rnacentral:rRNA from 1 species